UUUGCACACAAAACCCAAAGAUCAUUAUACCAUGUUCUGAUGAUCUUGUCUGCUGUGCAGAAAUAAACUGUACCUUGUCGCCUUUCUAGAGCUGAUGUGUUUUUGAAAGUGAACAAAAAGGUACAACAAAG
ensembl:snoRNA